CCUACGGGUGACAGCAGUGAGGAAUAUUGGUCAAUGGGCGCUAGCCUGAACCAGCCAAGUAGCGUGAAGGAUGACUGCCCUAUGGGUUGUAAACUUCUUUUAUAUGGGAAUAAAGUGCAGUAUGUAUACUGCUUUGCAUGUACCUUAUGAAUAAGGAUCGGCUAACUCCGUGCCAGCAGCCGCGGUAAUACGGAGGAUCCGAGCGUUAUCCGGAUUUAUUGGGUUUAAAGGGAGCGUAGGCGGGUUGUUAAGUCAGUUGUGAAAGUUUGCGGCUCAACCGUAAAAUUGCAGUUGAAACUGGCAGCCUUGAGUACAGUAGAGGUAGGCGGAAUUCGUGGUGUAGCGGUGAAAUGCUUAGAUAUCACGAAGAACUCCGAUUGCGAAGGCAGCCUGCUGGACUGUAACUGACGCUGAGGCUCGAAAGUGUGGGUAUCAAACAGGAUUAGAUACCCCGGUAGUC
rnacentral:rRNA from 1 species